rnacentral:rRNA from 1 species
AGCAGUGGGGAAUAUUGGACAAUGGGCGCAAGCCUGAUCCAGCAAUGCCGCGUGAGUGAUGAAGUGCCUUAGGGUUGUAAAGCUCUUUUACCCGGGAAGAUAAUGACUGUACCGGGAGAAUAAGCCCCGGCUAACUCCGUGCCAGCAGCCGCGGUAAUACGGAGGGGGCUAGCGUUGUUCGGAAUUACUGGGCGUAAAGCGCACGUAGGCGGCUAUUCAAGUCAGAGGUGAAAGCCUGGGGCUCAACCCCAGAAUUGCCUUUGAGACUGAGUGGCUAGAAGGUGAGAGAGGUGAGUGGAAUUCCGAGUGUAGAGGUGAAAUUCGUAGAUAUUCGGAAGAACACCAGUGGCGAAGGCGGCUCACUGGCUCAUACUUGACGCUGAGGUGCGAAAGCGUGGGAGCAAACAGGAUAUA